GACGGGAAAGCACGGUGGUUAGACGGCUGUGUUAGUAAGAAGCAGCGUGGUUUACGAUGGCGGUUAAAUUCGUGAUAUGCUUGUUUUCUAGUGGUUUUUGUGACACAUGAAAAGCUGUUUAGUUAUUUUACAACACUAACUCGGCGCUCAUUUGUCGCAUAUGAUGCGUCAUUCCGCAUGACCAGCCCGCAAACGCUGGAAAAAAGUCAAAGGAAUGAACGUCAGACCGCAAGGAGUUUGGCCUAGCCACGUGGCGAAGUCGAGCAUGGCUUAGCACGUGGCGUCAAAGCGAAAUGCCCCUUGAUGGCUUGAAGUCCAACACUUGACACAAAAAAAACAACGCAAGUCUUUAAAUAAAACGAUUUCCUCCA